rnacentral:rRNA from 1 species
CAGUCGCCACGGUAAUACGAAGGGGGCUAGCGUUGUUCGGAAUUACUGGGCGUAAAGGGCGCGUAGGCGGCCAUUCAAGUUAGAUGUGAAAGCCCUGGGCUCAACCUAGGAAUUGCAUUUGAUACUGUUUGGCUUGAGGAUGGGAGAGGUGAGUGGAAUUUCCGGUGUAGCGGUGAAAUGCGUAGAUAUCGGAAGGAACACCUGUGGCGAAAGCGGCUCACUGGACCAUUUCUGACGCUGAUGCACGAAAGCUAGGGGAGCAAACAGGAUUAGAUACCCGCGUAGUCCCUGUCUCUUAUAA